GAAGGCUUGCUGGGCUGGCCCGGAGCAGCUGCUAGGCCUGCCGGACACGCCUUGGGCGCGAUGGACUUGGUGGCAGGGAUGGAAGUCGGGGCCGAAAUCGAAGUGACCGAAGACGGGACCUUGGAGGAAUUGCCUCUGCAUUUGGAAAACGCCAAGAACUGCCUCUCCUGGGAAUCCCUGGAUAUGUCGAGCAGCGACGACGACGGGGAGGCGUACUUGACCUUCUGCCUGCCGGUGAGGCGCCCUCCCCGGCCCGUGCCGCGGCUCCCGGCCCAGCG